UACGUAGGGGGCAAGCGUUAUCCGGAUUUACUGGGUGUAAAGGGAGCGUAGGUGGUGUGGUAAGUCAGAUGUGAAAGCCCGUGGCUCAACUGCGGGACUGCAUUUGAAACUAUCAUGCUAGAGUGCAGGAGAGGUAAGUGGAAUUCCUAGUGUAGCGGUGAAAUGCGUAGAUAUUAGGAGGAACACCAGUGGCGAAGGCGGCUUACUGGACUGUAACUGACACUGAGGCUCGAAAGCGUGGGGAGCAAACAGG
rnacentral:rRNA from 1 species